AGUGAACGCUGGCGGUAGGCCUAACACAUGCAAGUCGAACGGCAGCACAGUAAGAGCUUGCUCUUACGGGUGGCGAGUGGCGGACGGGUGAGGAAUACAUCGGAAUCUACUUUUUCGUGGGGGAUAACGUAGGGAAACUUACGCUAAUACCGCAUACGACCUACGGGUGAAAGCAGGGGAUCUUCGGACCUUGCGCGAUUGAAUGAGCCGAUGUCGGAUUAGGUAGUUGGCGGGGUAAAGGCCCACCAAGGCGACUAUCCGUAGCUGGUCUGAGAGGAUGAUCAGCCACACUGGAACUGAGACACGGUCCAGACUCCUACGGAAGGCAGCAGUGGGGAAUAUUGGACAAUGGGCGCAAGCCUGAUCCAGCCAUACCGCGUGGGUGAAGAAGGCCUUCGGGUUGUAAAGCCCUUUUGUUGGGAAAGAAAAGCAGCAGGUUAAUACCCCGCUGUUCUGACGGUACCCAAAGAAUAAGCACCGGCUAACUUCGUG
rnacentral:rRNA from 1 species